AGAGUUUGAUCAUGGCUCAGAACAAACGCUGGCGGCGUGUCUUAAGCAUGCAAGUUGAGCGGCAAGGGGGAGCGAUCCCCCCUAGAGCGGCGGACUGGUGAGUAACACGUGGAUGAUCUACCCGAGGCAUGGGGAUAGUCACUAGAAAUAGUGGGUAAUACCGAAUACGGUGCGCAUCGUGAGGGUGUGCAAGAAAGGUGCUACGGCACCGGCCUAGGAUGAGUCUGCGUCCCAUUAGCUGGUUGGUGAGGUAAGAGCCCACCAAGGCGAUGAUGGGUAGCCGGCCUGAGAGGGUGUACGGCCACACUGGGACUGAGAUACGGCCCAGACUCCUACGGGAGGCAGCAGCUAAGAAUAUUCCGCAAUGGACGAAAGUCUGACGGAGCGACGCCGCGUGGAUGAAGAAGGCCGAAAGGUUGUAAAGUUCUUUUGUUGGGGAAGAAUAACCAUGGGAGGGAAUGCCCGUGGGAUGACAUGAACCGACGAAUAAGCCCCGGCUAACUACGUGCCAGCAGCCGCGGUAACACGUAGGGGGCGAGCGUUGUUCGGAAUUACUGGGCGUAAAGGGCAUGUAGGCGGUCUUGUAAGCUUGGCGUGAAAGACCACGGCUCAACCGUGGGAUUGCGUUGAGAACUGCGAGGCUUGAGUGACGGAGAGGGAGCUAGAAUUCCUGGUGUAGGGGUGGAAUCUGUAGAGAUCAGGAAGAAUACCAAUGGCGAAGGCAAGCUCCUGGCCGAUGACUGACGCUGAGGUGCGAAAGUGUGGGGAUCAAACAGGAUUAGAUACCCCGGUAGU
rnacentral:rRNA from 1 species